UGCCAGCCGCCGCGGUAACACGGGGGGCGCAAGCGUUAUUCGGAAUUAUUGGGCGUAAAGGGCGCGCAGGCGGUCUUGUCCGUCAGGUGUGAAAGCUCGGGGCUCAACCCCGGAAGUGCACUUGAAACAGCAAGACUUGAAUACGGUAGAGGAGAGAGGAAUUCCUGGUGUAGAGGUGAAAUUCGUAGAUAUCAGGAGGAACACCGGCGGCGAAAGCGGCUAACUGGGGCCAAUCUGACGCUGAUGCGCGAAAGCAUGGGGAGCAAACAGGAUUAGAUA
rnacentral:rRNA from 1 species